rnacentral:rRNA from 1 species
CAUAAGUUUCCGGUUAAAUCCGUUUGCUUAACAAAUGGGCUGCCGGAAAAACUGUGGAGCCAGGCAGUGGGAGAGGUAGACGGUACUCGGUAGGAAGGGGUAAAAUCCUUUGAUCUAUCGAUGACCACCUGUGGCGAAGGCGGUCUACCAGAACACGUCCGACGGUGAGGGAUGAAAGCUGGGGGAGCAAACCGGAUUAGAUACCCGGGUAGUCCCAGCCGUAAACGAUGCAGACUCGGUGAUGCAUUGGGUUGUGCCCAGUGCAGUGCCGCAGGGAAGCCGUUAAGUUUGCCGCCUAGGAAGUACGUACGCAAGUAUGAAACUUAAAGGAAUUGGCGGGGGAGCACCACAAGGGGUGAAGCCUGCGGUUCAAUUGGAGUCAACGCCAGAAAUCUUACCCGAGGAGACAGCAGAAUGAAGGUCAAGCUGAAGACUUUACCAGACAAGCUGAGAGGUGGUGCAUGGCCGUCGCCAGCUCGUGCCGUGAGAUGUCCUGGUAAGUCAGGUAACGAGCGAGAUCCCUGCCUCUAGUUGCCACCAUUACUCUCUGGAGUAGUGGGGCGAAUUAGAGGGACCGCCACAGUUAAUGUGGAGGAAGGAGGGGGCCACGGCAGGUCAGUAUGCCCCGAAACCUUGGGGCUACACGCGGGCUGCAAUGGUAGUGACAAUGGGCUCUUAACCCGAAAGGGGGCGGUAAUCCUAAAACGCUACCACAGUUAUGAUUGAGGGCCGCAACUCGCCCUCAUGAAUA